UGGGGAAUUUUGGACAAUGGGGGCAACCCUGAUCCAGCAAUGCCGCGUGAGUGAAGAAGGCCUUCGGGUUGUAAAGCUCUUUUGUCAGGGAAGAAACACCGGCUCUAACACAGUCCGGGAAUGACGGUACCUGAAGAAUAAGCACCGGCUAACUACGUGCCAGCAGCCGCGGUAAUACGUAGGUGGCGAGCGUUGUCCGGAAUUAUUGGGCGUAAAGCGCGCGCAGGUGGCUUUACAAGUCUUCUUUAAAAGUGCAGGGCUUAACCCUGUGAUGGGGGAGAAACUGUAAGGCUUGAGUGCAGGAGGGGUAAGCGGAAUUCCCAGUGUAGAGGUGAAAUUCGUAGAUAUUGGGAAGAACACCGGUGGCGAAGGCGGCUCACUGGACCGACACUGACGCUGAGGCGCGAAAGCGUGGGGAGCAAACAGG
rnacentral:rRNA from 1 species